CCUACGGGUGGCAGCAGUGAGGAAUAUUGGUCAAUGGCCGGAAGGCUGAACCAGCCAAGCCGCGUGAAGGACGAAGGUGCCAAGCAUUGUAAACUUCUUUUGUCAAGGGACAAAAUCAGGCUCGAGAGCCUGACCGCGGGUACUUGAAGAAACAGCAUCGGCUAACUCCGUGCCAGAAGCCGCGGUAAUACGGAGGAUGCGAGCGUUAUCCGGAUUUAUUGGGUUAAAGGGGUGCGUAGGCGGACUGUUAGGUCAGCGGUAAAAGCCCGGGGCUCAACCCCGGCGAGCCGUUGAAACUGGGUGUCUUGAGAUGUCGAGAGGAAUGCGGAAUGCGCAGUGUAGCGGUGAAAUGCUUAGAUAUUGCGCAGAACUCCGAUUGCGAAGGCAGCAUACCGGCGGCGAUCUGACGCUGAGGCACGAAAGCGUGGGUAUCGAACAGGAUUAGAUACCCGUGUAGUC
rnacentral:rRNA from 1 species